ACUAGGUUAUUAAUAGAUAUAUUCUUUAAAUUCAAAGAAUUUGGCGGUGGUUUAGUCUAGUCAGAGGAACCUGCUUUUAAAUCGAUAUGACACGUAAAAUCUUACUUAUUUUUGUUUUCAGUUUGUAUACCAUCAUUAUCAGAUAAUUUUAUAAAAAAUAAAUUAUUAAAGAUAAAUACAUUAGUUAAAUUAGAUCAAGGUGCAGCUUAUAAAUAAGUUAAAGUGGGUUACAAUAAGGUUUACUUAAAACGGAGUAAGGUUAGUUAUGACCCUUAGGAAGGAGGAUUUGAUUGUAAUAUAAAUUUAAUAAGUUUAGGAGAUAAGAGCUCUGAAUUGCGUACACAUCGCCG
rnacentral:rRNA from 1 species